UCCGUGUGAGUUUCUUCCCCAAGGACCCAGUGGAGCUGCUGCGCCGGGAUCCUGCAGCGUUCGAGUACCUGUACAUCCAGAGCCGCAACGAUGUGAUCAGAGAGCGCUUCGGCACAGACCCCAAGCCAGAGAUGCUACUGGGGCUGGCUGCCCUCCCCAUCUACAUCACUGUCUCAGCCACCCGCCCCAGCCAGAAGGUCUCCCUCAAGAACGUGGAGAAGGAGUGGGGCCUGGAGCCCUUCCUGCCCCCCUCGCUCCUGCAGCUCAAUCAAAGAGAAGAGCCUCCGGAAAUCCCUCUCGCAGCAGCUCAAAGCCCACCAGAACCAGCCUGGCGGCACCAAGGUG